CUUUGUACAUAACGUUCAUUGCCGUCUAGGAGGUGAGGUCACUUCUUCAAAGGGCUCACCUCGCGUUGUUUUCGUAGCUUCCUGGUACUUGCACCAAGCUCUCCUGUCUUGCACUCUGAAGUGUGUGAAAGGCGCCGGUGUUGUCCAUCGGAAUC
rnacentral:lncRNA from 1 species